rnacentral:tRNA from 2 species
GCCGCCAUGGCGGAAUGGCAGACGCACUUGACUCAAAAUCAAGCGGGAAACCGUGCCGGUUCAAGUCCGGCUGGCGGCA